UAUUCUGCUGAUUUGGAAUUGCUCCAGUUUUCAUUUACCAGUUAAACAUCAUGAGUAUUCUUCCCUUAGCUUGUCUUUACCAUACGAGGGUUGGCAUAUCCAUGAUGUUGGGCAAUGCAAAUAAUUAUACACCUGCCUUAUAUCACAACUGUCCAAUCAUUAAACUGUUGUCCCCAAAAAGCAUUGUUUUUAACCCUUCAGCAAGUAUUUUUGUAACAGACAAUAAAAGUUUCUGGCUGCAAAAGCUUAGGGUAUUUUCCCCAUUGUGUUUCUGUUCUUGGAUUUUUGGCACUAAAGUACUGCUGGAGAUCACAAAUGACACAAAACUUCUCUUAAGAAAUGAGAUUUGGUGGUGUGUCACAUAUGGGUUUUUAUUAUCUAUAUUUACUUGGAGCCUAAACUUAAGUGCACUGGGUUGACAGGCAUCUUUUUAUUGACUUCAGCAAGGUUUGGGUCUGCCUUCAAGUUGCUAAUUCACAGAAUUCAGUCAUUUGCAAUUGACAUCUCAGGCGUUCCUGCAUUCUGGCAAAUUAAAUCCUCCAAGAACCCGCAUUUUGAAUGGAAGUCAAGAAUGUGUCAAGCAUGAUGCAGCAUGCUCUUUUUUCUCUUGUUGCUGUUUUGCCUGCUCGUUCUUUCUGUUACACCAUGUAUGAGCCUUCUUGUUUCCUGCAGAUGACUGUUACGAGCUGUGGUGUUCUGGGUAAACAUGCUUUUGAAAGAUGUUCAGUUUUCCUACACCCUGUAUUUCACAGAAAGCCAGAUCUAUAGGUCCUCUGAGAUACAGCUCUGUUUAAAGCUCUUUCCCAUCACUGCAUGUUUUUUCCCUAAAAGCAGCCUGUAAUGCCUGUAUUUCGAAUGUCUGGAUCAGGCCUAUGAUAUGACCUCUUAACUCAUUGAACAAAUGUGUCAAAGUUUAGUUCUGCUUUGUUAAUUCAAAAAUUAUUUGAAGUAGUUCUGUGUAGAAAUACUUCCCUUUGCUCCCAAAUGUGCUUAUAGGCAGGUAACUUUGGGCUUCUUUUGGACAGUUUUUCCACAGAUACAUUUAUGCAGAAAUUGCACUUUAAAUCUGUUGCUGACGUGGGACAGAAUAUUAUUUGUUCUGGGCUUGAGAACAAAUGCUAUUUCUUAGAAACUGAGCAAAAAAAGCGAGCAUGUUUUUUUCUAGGAAAUUACAAUCUGGUUUUUGAAAAGUGGCAAGAGAAAAAGCCUGCUGAAUGUCAGAGCCCAGUACAUGCAGAGGUUCAAAAUUGUUGAAUCAUUGCAGAAAUACUCACCGAAACAUCUCAGUGCCUUUAUGUUCCUUGUUCCAAAGGAACAGCAAUAAAAAGCUAACAAGUCUUUUUACUCUCAGGACUCAUCAAAUAGGUAUUUCUCCCAUGCUUUUAAAUUGUAAAAUACUCUUGACAUCUAAGCACAGAAUAUUCUAAAUACUCAUCUUUUGUCUUUCUCCCUUUAAUUCACAAAAAUAUCAAACCAAACCGUGUUUGAAAGCAGGAGUUGCUCUGGUUUAUGCUCAGCAGUGCUGCCUGGGCAUGUGCUGCCAUGCCAGGUACAUGAGUGCACAUACAGAAGGAGCUGGUUCCUUUCACUGGCAGUCAAAGGUGGGGUUGAAUUCCUCUCUUCCCUCUGCCAUCAAAGGGAAUGGGAUUUUGCUGUUGACUGCACUGGAGCUGAGAUAUAUCCACCCUGGGUUUAGGGUGGUCUGACUCUGCUUCAGGUAUUUACAAAACCAGAAUAACCUAUUUUUGUGUGGCUCAGACUCUGAAAGGUUCGGUACUGAGAAACAGAGUUUCUCUUUAUGGAAAAGAAAAAAAAGUGUAUCAUUUAAUGGGGAUGAAAUUACAGUAGUUCUGUCAAGAUCAAAUGGGCUUCUUCAGGAAUUACUUGAAAAAAUGUAUUAAAUGCAGUCAAAGCUUCAUUCUGUUUGUUAGCUUUGUAUUUUAUCACUGUCAGAGGCUCCGUGAGUGGUCAGUAGUGCUUUCUCAGAAGCUGCAGGGGCACGUUUCCAAGUUUUCAGGAGGGUUAAUCUCUCUUAAAUUCUGUACAUUUGCUGUAAAGACAGUGCAGUGAGCUGGGAAUGCAGUGGGACUUUGCACAGGACAGAGAGUGAUUGAGGACUUGCUAUGAGGAGCUGAACCUGAUCUGUUUGUGAUGUUGCCAUUCGAGAGAGCGUUAGCUUUGCUUAUCAGCUCUCCAUGCAUUGAGUCAUGUAUAUAUUAUAGUCAUGCACACAGGAACCUCAUUAUAAUGCUCCUCGGUUCUCAUUGCCUCAACUAAAGUCCAUUAAAAGUACCACAUUGGAACGUGUAUAUUUUGGACUUCUGUGUGCAGCCAGGGAGCAAGCUGAAGUGCCUGUAAAAUGUAUAUUUUAUAUUUAGGUGUAUAAAAUAUAUAUGUGGCUAUGUCUGGGUGUGUGAAUGUUCACCUGCCUACAAAGAGAAUAAAUUUGAUCUUUCAACUUUUAUGGAGGGGGCAGGGGGACUUGGUGAGUUCUAGGGAAGGUGUGCAGAGGUUAGUAAAAAGUUGUUAUUAAAACAAAAUCCUUCAUUUUGUUUUGAAGGAUAAUGGAAGCAGGAGAUGUUACAGCCUGGCAUUUUGGUGCUUUUUUCCCCAUCCCUUUUUUUUUUUUUUUUUUUACUGUUUUAAAAAAAGAACUUUUCUGCCUUAGUCUAGCUGUAUUAUAUUUCAGUUCUUUCUCCCAUUAACAUACUCUCUUAAUGAAAUCAGAAGCUUUCAGUACUUGUCCCAACUUCUCAAACCUAAAAGCUGCAGUCUUUAUAAUAAGAAGUUUCCUUCUUCUGAAAGAAGUUAAGUGUCUUUUCCUGGUGCAGUUGGCAUUUGGGGGAGUCCCUCUGAUGUCUUGAACCAGUUAAAUAACUUUGCAUCCAGGUCCAUUUCUUCUUUCAGCUUACAGAUACUGUUAUUGACCGCAGUUUUAUUGUACCGGUGGUUAGGGAUCUGCCACAACAGGCUUUUAAGCAAACACAAGGUAGAAAAAGUUCUCCUAUGCCACUAUUUCUCCAUAAUGGCAAUAACGCUUCUUACUUAACAGAUGCAACAAAUUCAUCUAGAUGGCGAGUAGAUCACACAGACCUCUGGGCACCAGGAAGAAGAGAUGCCUCAUUUUGAAACCUAAAGGGGGGAAUAAGAAAAGUCCUUUGUAAUAUAUUGCCAUAUUAUCACUAAAUCCCCUGACAGUUGUGACACAGAAGCAAGUCACCUGUCACUUAAGCUUGAGGUCUCUUUAAUUUUCUCCUGGAAUUCGCACCAGGCUGUCUUUAAUUUGAGGCCUUUAUUGGAAUUCUGAAACCUUUCUACCUCCCCGGUGCUCAGAUCUAUUCUGAGUGCUGUUACAGAAUGUAUACAAUAACCAACAGAGGGAUUCAGAGGGGGCUGAAGCACUGUUUAUUUAACACUCUGGAGGGAUUUUCGUGCUUAUUCGGUCCUGGCUACCCGGCUUUCAAUAUCGCUUUGACAACCGUUAUGCCCUUCUCAUUAAUUUUAAACAGUUAAAACACAGGAAAAAGAGAAAAAGUUUUCAUUAUUAAAGUGCUUUACUUUUUAAUAACAGAGGAUUCUGUCCACCGGGGGAAAGGGCAAACCUCACUAAUUUCACAUUCAUAUUAAAAAACGCUGGGAAGGUGACACUUUGUGCUGCCAGGAGGCUUAACAAAAGAAAAGUGAUGGGGGCUAGGAGGAGCAGGCAGGGCGAGAAAGUUUUAUGUUUCACAUCAAUGGAAACUUCUUAGUCACAAGAGCGAGUGUCCACCUUGGGAGGCAGCACCACUUCUAGUUUAUUAAACCUUUACAGAGGCCCCUCGGCUGGAGACUGUCUCAACUGAUUAAUAAGCACACAUGAAGUCAAACUAAAAGGUGUCUGUGAAACAAGCUGUGUGGUGAGUCUUUCUCAAGUGGAUUGGGAGACAGAUAGCAGAGGCCAGGAACUUGGGAAACUCUUAAUGUAGCCUUAAUGUACCCACCAUUGUCUUUGGAGAUGCUGAGGGACAGUUAGUCCAGGUAGUGAGUGAGCAGCAACUCUAGUGCCUAUGUGUGUUUGCUUCUUUGAACCCAGUGGUGGAAGCUGUGAGAUCUUGAGUUCAAAGGAGGGCACUGUGCAGGAGGUUUUAGGCUACAUUUGAGGUCUGUCUCUGGGCAGGUUUGCUGUUUGGCUAUAGAGUGGUAGAUCUGGGUCACCAAACAUUUUGUGUAGGGUGCCAGCAUCAUUACCUGGCUUCCAGGAUUGCUGAGGUUCGCAGUGUCAGUGUGAUACAGUUCUCCUGGGCUAGCAGCAGUGCAGAGGUGAGCUCACAGCUGUGAGGGAAGGAGGGGUUUGCAGCAUUAGCAUGCAAAUCUGCCAGGAAGGAACAACAGGAUUGUUGCCUUGGCACAGGCCUAGUACAGAAGUGUGGGAGGUGGAUGUUUUCACUCAGCCCUGGUCAGGAGAGGGGAUUGACCAGUAUCAAGUUGCUGCCUUGGACCCUGCACUGUUAGUCCUGGAUGCUGGUUUGUGUCUGAGUAGCUUUUGAGAACUGUGGCCAUUUCUUGGGGAAGGUUCACAUCCAUGGAUGCUUGGCUUUGCACUUUGCUGUCAGCCUCCCAUCAAAAAUUCCCCUGUUCCUUGUCCACGUUUCCUUUCUCUGCCUGGGUAAUUGAGAGAAAGAGAUACAGCCUCUUCUCUCCUCCCAGUAACAGCUUGUUCCCAGGAACGUUUGUUUUCCAUUUCCUGAACUGCAUCCUGAAGUCUGAGCCUGGCAAAGCUUGAGCACGUGCAAAAUUGCCCUUUUGGUUUGAGGAAGCUUAUUCUGUCCUGCCACUGGUGCAAGGGGCGUCUCUUACUCUAGAAGAACCACCUGAUGGCAGUUACAGUGAAGUAUGACUUGUUGACAGUGAGAAAACUUCAUGUGGGCAUUGAUAGUGAGCAGUUCAUACUAUGGCUUUGUUCACAGGUACGGAAUUUGGUCCAUUCUCUGGAGCCUGAGGGUGAACAUAGAUCUUCUGCACAAGGAGCAACUUGCAACAUCAGUCUGAAACUGUUAAUUUAGAGUCUGGGGGGAGUUAUUCCACCUAACUGCAAGGGAAACUAGCAGUGGUAUCUGGCCUGUUGAAUCGGGGAGGGGGUGGAAGUG